CCGGAUUUGCCCUUUCGAGCAGAGUAGUUCUGGAGAAUCUUAAUUGUGACCGGCCCGAGUCUCCUUAAUAAUAUGAUAAUA